GGAAUUUGUAUGUAUACAAUCUGCAAUAUUUUGCAAUAUCUUUUUUUUGCUCUUUGUGUGUGGAAUUGUAUUGGUGGGAAUAAGAGCAUUGAAAAGUUGAAAGCUCAAGAGAAUAAAUCGACUCUCAGUGUCGGUUGGUGAUGGAGAUAUUUUACCCGCGUUUUGCAGCUAGAGACGUCGGUUAAUCGUUCGAUUAAUUCAAAUAAUCGAAUAUCUGUAACAGUAAUUUUAUACCAAAUAAUGAAAAAUCAAGAAAAUACAGUGCAAAAUUUGUUUAACCGUCAUGGUGUUUCGUCGAAAUUCAUAGAAUAUGCUAAAUCAUUUACGGUAGAAGCUUGAUUCCUAGGUGGUGGAGGAGACUGGGAAGAAGAAUUCAGGGUCUGCAGGAGUAAAAUGCGGACUUGAAGAAGGUAGUCUCAUCUCCCGUUCUAAAAUAGUAGUAUUCAAAUUCAGAGCGCCGAGAAAAAAAUACCAUACUAGUGAUCAAUGAUUCUAUGACCAAGCAGGGAUAUUCAAACAAAUCAGCUAAAAUUUUUAUUUUUUUUUCAUGCGAGAAAGGUAUUUUCUGACUUUGAGGGGGUGAAUCAAAAAUCAAAUUCCUCUUUUAUAUUCAAGAAAUGAAAAAUACAUACAAAAAACAGGAAGUGGGUUAUAUCUAUGGUAUAACCGCAAGGGUGA